AGAGUUUGAUUAUGGCUCAGGAUGAACGCUGGCGGCGUGCUUAACACAUGCAAGUCGAACGAUUAACCCGCCCUCGGGCGGUUAUAGAGUGGCGAACGGGUGAGUAACACGUGACCAACCUGCCCCCUUCACCGGGAUAACCCAGGGAAACCUGCGCUAAUACCGGAUACUCCGCAUGGGCCGCAUGGCCCUUGCGGGAAAGCUCCGGCGGAAGGGGAUGGGGUCGCGGCCCAUUAGGUAGUUGGCGGGGUAACGGCCCACCAAGCCCGCGAUGGGUAGCCGGGUUGAGAGACCGAUCGGCCACAUUGGGACUGAGAUACGGCCCAG
rnacentral:rRNA from 1 species